rnacentral:tRNA from 1 species
GGCUCAGUGGUUCAAUGGUAAAGCGCUUGUCGCAGAGCCAUAGGGUCCUGGGUUCGAUCCCAAACAGGGUCG